rnacentral:rRNA from 1 species
GACAGAGGGGGCAAGCGUUGCUCGGAAUUACUGGGCGUAAAGCGUGCGCAGACGGUUGCGUAAGUCAGAUGUGAAAGCCCCGGGCUCAACCUGGGAAUUGCAUUUGAGACUGCGUAGCUAGGGUGCGGAAGAGGGAGGCGGAAUUUCCGGUGUAGCGGUGAAAUGCGCAGAUAUCAGGAAGAACACCCGUGGCGAAGGCGGCUCUCUGGGACGGUACUGACGCUGAGACGCGAAAGCGUGGGGAGCGAACAGG